rnacentral:rRNA from 1 species
UUACCCAUUCGUAAGAAUUAAGAGCCCAGAGAGAUGAUCUGGUAGAUAGGCUGGAAGUGGAAGAGUUGCGAGACUUGGAGCGGACCAGUACUAAUCGCUCGAGGACUUUACCAAAA